AUUGAACGCUGGCGGCAUGCCUUACACAUGCAAGUCGAACGGUAACAGGUCUUCGGAUGCUGACGAGUGGCGAACGGGUGAGUAAUACAUCGGAACGUGCCCAGACGUGGGGGAUAACGAGGCGAAAGCUUUGCUAAUACCGCAUACGAUCUAAGGAUGAAAGCAGGGGACCGCAAGGCCUUGCGCGUUUGGAGCGGCCGAUGGCAGAUUAGGUAGUUGGUGGGAUAAAAGCUUACCAAGCCGACGAUCUGUAGCUGGUCUGAGAGGACGACCAGCCACACUGGGACUGAGACGCGGCCCAGACUCCUACGGGAGGCAGCAGUGGGGAAUUUUGGACAAUGGGCGAAAGCCUGAUCCAGCAAUGCCGCGUGCAGGAUGAAGGCCUUCGGGUUGUAAACUGCUUUUGUACGGAACGAAAAGGCCCUGGCUAAUACCUGGGGCACAUGACGGUACCGUAAGAAUAAGCACCGGCUAACUACGUGCCAGCCGCCGCCGUAACAC
rnacentral:rRNA from 1 species